rnacentral:rRNA from 1 species
UACGUAGGGGGCAAGCGUUGUCCGGAAUCAUUGGGCGUAAAGCGCGUGUAGGCGGCUUCGUAAGUCCGUUGUGAAAGUCCAGGGCUCAACCCUGGAAUGCCGAUGGAUACUGCGGAGCUAGAGUCCGGAAGAGGCGAGUGGAAUUUCUGGUGUAGCGGUGAAAUGCGCAGAUAUCAGGAGGAACACCAAUGGCGAAGGCGGCGAUCUGGACGAUGACUGACGCUGAGACGCGAAAGCGUGGGGAGCAAACAGG